rnacentral:rRNA from 1 species
CGGUUGAUCCUGCCGGACCCGACUGCUAUUUGGGUAAGGAUUAUCCAUGCGAGUUGAAUGGGAUACCUAAAUAUCCCAUAGCAAACUGCUCAGUAACCCAUGAUCAACUUACCCUAUGGAGAAUCAUAACCUCGGGAAACUGAGGAUAAUGAUUCAUAAUUGAAAAAGCUUGGAAAAGUUUUUCAAUGAAAGAAAUAAGAACAAUGGUUCUUAUUUGCCAUAGGAUAGGAUCGUGGUCGAUUAUGGUUGUUGGUGAGGUAACGGCUCACCAAGCCUAUAAUCGAUAGGGGCCGCGAGAGCGGGAGCCCCGAGAUGGGUACUGAGACAAGGACCCAGGCCUUACGAGGCGCAGCAGGAGCGAAACCUCCGCAAUACACGAAAGUGUGACGGGGUUACCCAAAGUGUUCAUUUUUGAACUCUUGAAGGGGAGUAAUGUCCCCUACUAGAAAGGAGAGGGCAAGGCUGGUGCCAGCCGCCGCGGUAAAACCAGCUCUUCAAGUGGUCGGGAUGAUUAUUAGGCUUAAAGCGUCCGUAGCCGGUAUAGCAAGUUCCUAGUAAAAUCGGAUAGCUUAACUAUCCGUAUGCUAGGAAUACUGCUAUACUAGAGGGCGGGAGAGGUCUGAGGUACUACAAGGGUAGGGGUGAAAUCCUAUAAUCCUUGUAGGACCACCAGUGGCGAAGGCGUCAGACUGGAACGCGCCUGACGGUGAGGGACGAAAGCCAGGGGAGCGAACCGGAUUAGAUACCCGGGUAGUCCUGGCCGUAAACGAUGCACACUAGGUGAUGGCACGGCCAUGAGCCGUGCCAGUGCCGUAGGGAAACCGUUAAGUGUGCCGCCUGGGAAGUACGGCCGCAAGGCUAAAGCUUAAAGGAAUUGGCGGGGGAGCAC